rnacentral:lncRNA from 1 species
AACAUCACAAUCCUUUAAACAUGCUUUCAUGAAAUUAAAGUUACUAAAUUAAUUAAUAGCUGAAAGCCUUCUUAAAUCCUAACCCAAUUUGCUAAGCAAACAACUAACAAAAAUAUAACCCUACAUAACAAGGACAGCAAAAAACACCUAAAACAAUCCCCAGCCUCACAUUCCCACCAUCCCUUGGUGGGAUCCAUACGUUGUUGUGCCUUCAAGCC